rnacentral:rRNA from 1 species
GUCCACGGCCAUGCUACCCUGAACAAGCCCGAUCCCAUCUGAUCUCAGAAGCUAAGCAGGGUCAGGCCUGGUUAGUACUUGGAUGGGAGACCACCUAGGAAGACCAGGUGCUAUAGGUG